rnacentral:lncRNA from 10 species
CGCGUCCUAUCCCGAACAGUCCCGCAGCCCCGAGGCUCCCGCAUCAACGCCCUCAGUCGGAUGGGACUGAGGGUGCCGCCGCCACCACGCCGGGGACUGUUGACAGCCAGAACCUUUAAGCGUAACAGAGUCACCUGGUCAGAAAGCAACAUUGAAUGCAGAAGAAAUGGCGGACUUCUACAAGGAAUUUUUAAGUAAAAAUUUUCAGAAGCACAUGUAUUAUAACAGAGAUUGGUACAAGCGCAAUUUUGCCAUCACCUUCUUCAUGGGAAAAGUGGCCCUGGAAAGGAUUUGGAACAAGCUUAAACAGAAACAAAAGAAGAGGAGCAACUAGGAGUCCACUCUGACCCAGCCAGAGUCCAGGUUUCCACAGGAAGCAGAUGGAGCUCCUUUCACAGGGGCUCUGAGAAAAACUGGAGCUGAUCUCAAGAAGCCCCACAUCUUCCUAAGGGGCCCCAUGGCCUGUUUGGGGGCAGGGUAGGUCCUGGGGCACUGUGGGCCGCCUGCCUGCUGAUGUGGGCUCUAGGCCAGCUUGUUGUCACGUACGUGGUGUGAAAUAAAGCCCAAGCACUGGGUGCCCGUUUCCUGUGUUUCGAAUUAUACCAAUUCAAAACAGAACUAUUUAAAAAUAUUGGCCAGGCACGGUGGCUCACACCUGUAAUCCCAGCACUUUGGGAGGCCGAGGCGGGUGGAUCACUUGAGAUCAGGAGUUCAAGAUCAGUCUGGACAACAUGGCAAAACCCUGUCUCUACAAAAAAUUAGCUGGGUGUGGUGGCACGCACCUGUAAUCCCAGCUGCUCUGGAGGCUGAGGCAUGCGACGCUUGAACCCAGGAGGCGGAGGUUGCAGUGAUCCAAGAUCGCACCACUGCACUCCAGCCUGGAAGACCAAACGAGACUCUGUAUCAAAAAAUAAUAAUAAUUAAUAAAGUUUUAC